rnacentral:rRNA from 1 species
GGGUGAGUAACACGUGGGAACGUGCCUUUAGGUUCGGAAUAGCUCCUGGAAACGGGUGGUAAUGCCCAAUGUGCCCUUCGGGGGAAAGAUUUAUCGCCUUUAGAGCGGCCCGCGUCUGAUUAGCUUGUUGGUGGGGUAAUGGCCCACCAAGGCUACGAUCAGUAGCUGGUCUGAAAGGAUGACCAGCCACAUUGGGACUGAGACACGGGCCAAACUCCUACGGGAGGCAGCAGUGGGGAAUCUUGCGCAAUGGGAGAAAGCCUGACGCAGCCAUGCCGCGUGUAUGAUGAAGGUCUUAAGAUUGUAAAAUACUUUCACCGGUGAAGAUAAUGACUGUAGCCGGAGAAGAAGCCCCGGCUAACUUCGUGCCGGCAGCCGCGGUAAUACGAAGGGGGCUAGCGUUGCUCGGAAUUACUGGGCGUAAAGGGAGCGUACGCGGACAUUUAAGUCAGGGGUGAAAUCCCGGAGCUCAACUCCGGAACUGCCCUUGAUACUGGGUGUCUUGAGUGUGAGAGAGGUAUGUGGAACUCCGAGUGUACAGGUGAAAUUCGUAUAUAUUCGGAAGAACACCAGUGGCGAAGGCGACAUACUGGCUCAUUACUGACGCUGAGGCUCGAAAGCGUGGGGAGCAAACAGGAUUAGAUACCCUGGUAGUCCACGCCGUACACGAUGAUUGCUAGUUGUCGGGGAGUUUACUUCUCGGUGACGCAGCUAACGCAUUAAGCAAUCCGCCUGGGGAGUACGGUCGCAAGAUUAAUACUCACAGGAAUUGACGGGAGCCCGCACAAGCGGUGGAGCAUGAGGUUUAAUUCGAAGCAACGCGCAGAA